GACGAACGCUGGCGGCGUGCUUAACACAUGCAAGUCGAACGGAGUGGCGAACGGGUGAGUAACACGUGGGUGACCUGCCCUGCACUUCGGGAAAAGCCUGGGAAAAUGGGUCGGAUACCGGAUAGUGUGGGAUGGGGCGGCGGCCGAUCAGCUUGUUGGUGGGGUAAGGGCAUACCAAGGCUGCGACGGGUAGCCGGCCUGGGAGGGGGGACGGCCACAUUGGGACUGCGACACGGCCCAGACUCGUACGGGAGGCAGCAGUGGGGAAUAUUGCCCAAUGGGCGGAAGCCUGAUGCAGCGACGCCGCGUGGGGGAUGACGGCCUUCGGGUUGUAAACUCCUUUCACCAUCGACGCGGUAGAUGGAGAAGAAGCACCGGCUAACUACGUGCCAGCAGCCGCGGUAAUUC
rnacentral:rRNA from 1 species